rnacentral:tRNA from 1 species
GCCGGUUUGGUGGAAUUGGUAGACACGACAGACUCAAAAUCUGUUGCGCGCGAGCGUGUCUGAGUUCAAGUCUCAGAAUCGGCA